UACGUAGGGGGCUAGCGUUGUCCGGAAUCAUUGGGCGUAAAGAGCGUGUAGGCGGCCACGCAGGUCCGUUGUGAAAACUGGAGGCUCAACCUUCAGACGUCGACGGAAACCGUGUGGCUAGAGUCCGGAAGAGGAGAGUGGAAUUCCUGGUGUAGCGGUGAAAUGCGCAGAUAUCAGGAAGAACACCAAUGGCGAAGGCAGCUCUCUGGGACGGUACUGACGCUGAGACGCGAAAGCGUGGGGAGCGAACGGG
rnacentral:rRNA from 1 species